UACAGAGGGGGCAAGCGUUGUUCGGAAUUACUGGGCGUAAAGGGCGCGUAGGUGGCCUUCUAAGUUGAACGUGAAAUCCCUGGGCUCAACCCAGGAACUGCGUCCAAGACUGGGAGGCUUGAAUCCGGGAGAGGGAUGCGGAAUUCCAGGUGUAGCGGUGAAAUGCGCAGAUAUCGGGAAGAACACCCGUGGCGAAGGCGGUUCUCUGGGACGGUACUGGACGCUGAGACGCGAAAGCGUGGGGAGCGAACAGG
rnacentral:rRNA from 1 species